rnacentral:rRNA from 1 species
GUCUACGGCCAUGCCACCCUGAACAAGCCCGAUGACUCAUCUCAGUAGCUGAGCAGGGUUGGGCCUAGUUAGUACUUGGAUGGGAGAUCACCUAGGAAGACCAGGUGCUGUAGGUG